GCCGGAGCCGGCGGGGCGCUGCCAAGAUGGCGGCGGGCGAGGGAGCGAGGCCUCGGUGAGGGCCGAAGGAGAGGCCCCCGGGCUGAGUGAGACGCGUGGAGUACGGUAAUGAGUAAUUAGUGUAACGCACAGCUGCUGGGAGACAAACAGAUGAGAUAACCGAGGCACGGAGAAGCGGCUUGCCCAGAG